AUAGGUGUAGUUUCAAUAACAUUAAGUUUCGGCCUUAAAAAAUUAAUAUUCUUAUUAACUCCUAAA
rnacentral:tRNA from 1 species